CAGUAGCCGCGGUAAUACGAAGGGUGCAAGCGUUAAUCGGAAUUACUGGGCGUAAAGCGUGCGUAGGCGGUGAGUUAAGUCUGCUGUGAAAUCCCCGGGCUCAACCUGGGAAUGGCAGUGGAUACUGGCUCGCUAGAGUGUGUCAGAGGAUGGUGGAAUUCCCGGUGUAGCGGUGAAAUGCGUAGAGAUCGGGAGGAACAUCAGUGGCGAAGGCGGCCAUCUGGGACAACACUGACGCUGAGGCACGAAAGCGUGGGGAGCAAACAGGAUUAGAUACCCCUGUAGUCCCUGUCUCUUAUAA
rnacentral:rRNA from 1 species